UCUGCUCCAGAGAUAGCAAUACAACGUUGUCACACGGUGAACCCCGCCACCAAAUUAACCACACCGUUAGAUGGCUCUCCACAUGACUGCGUAGCGAAACUGAAAAAUUCUUGAGAGCCAGGGAAGAUUUGUAUAACCACGUCAUAGAUGCAGAUUUAACCCUGUUUGUGGAUGGCUCAUGCUUCCGGGAUGCCGCGGGAUUACAUGUGGCCAUGGGCAUAGUCAAGCUAAACACUGAUGGUGAGACCUUUGAGUUGCUGGAGUCCCAGGGAAUUGAUCAGCCUUGUUCAGCCCAACUGGCAGAAAUUAAAGCCUUAACUGCAGCCUGCCAAAUAGCUAAAGAUCAACGUGUUAACAUCUACACAGAUUCAGCCUACGCUUACGGCGUAUGUCAUGUACAUGCAAACUAUUUGGAAAAAGAGA